GGAAAAACUGGAAACCCUAAUUCAAUUUCACGAUCACCACCACCAUUCUCCUCAUUCAUCAUCCUCGAGAGUUGAUUCGUGAUGGAUUCUUUGUCUCCAUCAAAGGAUGAUAUUGCAGAUAAUGAUCAUGAAGCUACUCCUGCACAGAGAAGUAGAAACAUAAGCAAGGAGAAUCCAAGGAGUGAAACUAGCUCACCUUCGUCGAAGCCAAAAAAGAAAUUUAAGGUCAGUAACACGAGGUCUUUAGUGUGGAAACACUUUACAAGAACUGAGGAGGAUGUCAACACCUGCGUAUAUCAUUAUUGUGGUAAAUCGAUGUCCUGCAACAUCAAGUGUGGAACUUCAAGCUUGAAGAAGCAUCUGCAAAUUUGCAAGGAGCACAUUGUGUGAGAGGAAACUAAAAAAGAAGGCAGAAUAUAAUAGUUUCUGAAGAUGCAAGUGGUACUCUGCAGUUGUUCAAGGUUUCUGAAGCAGUGGUUAGAGAAGCAUCGAAAGAGAUGAUUGUUUUGGCUGAAUUGCCACUUUCAUUUAUUGAAAUUCUGGCUUGGAGACAUUUCUGCAAUCGUGUGGGUCUUCCAAAGCCAAAUUCAAGGAGAACAAUCACCAGAGAAACUGUGGGGUUGUAUGUAAAGAAGAAAUCUGCUAUGAGAAAGGUGCUUGGUGCAAACAAGCAAAGGGUGUCUUUGACAACUGAUAUUUGGGUUGCUCCCACAACCAGAGCUAGCUAUAUGGUCAUCACAGCUUACUUCAUUUAUGUAAAGUGGAAUCUAAGGAAGCUGAUCAUAGGGUUUAAGAUCAUCGACGAUCACAAGGGAAAUACAACUAGCAGAGUUUUGCUAGAGUGUUUGGCUGAUUGGGGGAUAGAGAAGGUCUUCACGAUCACUUUUGACAAUGCCACUGCCAACACCAGUGCACUGAGGAAGUUUAAGGAGGCUUUCAGCAGAACAGGUGAGCACUCAUUGGUUCUAGGAGGUGACCACAUGCAUUUACGAUGUGCUGCUCAUAUCAUUAACUUGAUAGUGACCGAUGGGAUUACAUGAAGUUGGCAAAAGUGUAUCUGCGAUCUAUAAUGGUGUUCAGUAUGUGAGAUCUUCUACUAACAUAAUCAAGGCAUUUGAUCUAAGAUUGGAAUCAGCAAAAAUGACAAGAGGCAGUUUACCUUUAGACUGUAAAACUAGGUGGAAUUCAACUUACCUUAUGAUGACAGGGCUCUGAAGUUUAGGGUAGGUUUAGAUAGAAUGCAAGCAGAAGAUAUGCUCUACAAUGCUUACUUUCAAGAACAAGUGGAAGGAAAUAAGAGAGUUGGGCCAGCAACAAAGGAUGAUUGGGAUUCGGUUGCAAGAUUAGUAAGGUUUCUGAUUAUCUUUUACAACUCUACUUUAGUUGUUUCAGCAUCUUUUUCACUGAAUUCUUACAAGUGUUACAAUGAGAAUAUUGUACUAUCGAAACCAAUUUGAUAAAGCUGAGCAAGGAUCAGGAUCCAACAAUGAGGACAAAGGUCGAUGCAAUGAGAGAGAAAUUUGAUAAAUAUUGGGAUGGGUCAGAGAUCAAUAGGCUUCUAAUCAUUGUGAGUAUCUUAGAUCCGAGAAACAAAAUGAGGUUUGCUACUCUUAGUUUUGACAGGAUUUAUGGAAAAGAUAGUCCUAAAUCAAGGGACUUGUCUGAUUCUGUGACUACGGUUAUGAAGAAGUUGUUUGAGGAGUAUAGCAGCAAGCUAUCUAGAGGUGAGACAUCAUCUAAAUCUGCAGGUACUGAGUCUCAGCGUGGUAAUUCAAGUCAAGAUCAUGCUACAGGUAAUGUCCUUGACAAAAUGAAUUUAGAUUUGAGAGUGGAUAUGAAAGAAUGGAUUUUGUCUACAAAGAGAUGGUAGAUGAGUUACAAACUGAAGAUUCAGGUACGGAGUUGGAUAUAUAUUUGAAGGAGAAAUGUGAAACUCAAAAAAAAAAAUUCUUCGGUACAGAUUAUGAUGUUUUGGGAUGGUGGAAGUUGAACAGCUUCAAGUUUCCGGUUUUAUCCGAGAUGGCAAGGGAUAUGCUUGCAAUGCAGGUGUCCUCUGUUGCUUCAGAGUCUGCUUUUAGCACAAGUGGUCGAAUCAUAGACUCGUUUGAAGUUGUUUAACCCACUACAUGAUUGAAGUGCACUGAGCAAUGGCUGAAGUGUUAGAUUCGUCUAGGAGAAAAAGGAGUGUCAGUUAAAAAGAGCUGCUUGCUGAUAUUGAAUUGCAGGAUAAACUUCAAAGAGAAAUGGAAACUUAGAGUCUCCAGAGUUCUUUGAAUCUGAAGAUGAAGACUGACGGUUAGUUAUAAGUGAUGAGGCAAGAAGAUUUGGAAGUAGUUUGCAAGGAUGGCCGAAUGAGAUAGUUUUUUGGAUUCAGAACUGGAACUGAUAUUAAAAUUCAACUUGGUGAACAUGUCUUCUCAUUAUUAUCCCCAACUUUGUCAUAAUUUCUUCUUAUUUUGCACAAUUUGGAAGUUUGGAAUUAGGAUUUGACCUUAUGUAUUAUGUUUGUUUAUUUUGAACUUUUUGGGUUUUCAUGGUUUUUUCAGGUUA